AGGAAUGUAGUUCAGUUGGUAGAGCACUUGCUUAGCAUGCAUGAAGCCCUGGGUUUGAUCCCCAUCAUUACAU
rnacentral:tRNA from 1 species